rnacentral:rRNA from 1 species
CCUACGGGGGACUGCAGUGAGGAAUAUUGGUCAAUGGACGAGAGUCUGAACCAGCCAAGUAGCGUGAAGGAUGACUGCCCUAUGGGUUGUAAACUUCUUUUAUAAAGGAAUAAAACGAGGCACGUGUGCCUUUUUGCAUGUACUUUAUGAAUAAGGAUCGGCUAACUCCGUGCCAGCAGCCGCGGUAAUACGGAGGAUCCGAGCGUUAUCCGGAUUUAUUGGGUUUAAAGGGAGCGUAGAUGGGUUGUUAAGUCAGUUGUGAAAGUUUGCGGCUCAACCGUAAAAUUGCAAUUGAUACUGGCAGUCUUGAGUACAGUUGAGGUAGGCGGAAUUCGUGGUGUAGCGGUGAAAUGCUUAGAUAUCACGAAGAACCCCGAUUGCGAAGGCAGCUUACUAAACUGUGACUGACAUUGAUGCUCGAAAGUGUGGGUAGCAAACAGGAUUAGAUACCCUUGUAGUC